rnacentral:rRNA from 1 species
GACAGAGGUGGCGAGCGUUGUUCGGAAUCACUGGGCUUAAAGGGCGCGUAGGUGGUAGUGCAAGUCUGAGGUGGAAUCUUAGGGCUUAACCCUAAAAUUGCCUUGGAAACUGCAUUACUUGAGUCAGUGAGGGGAAGGUAGAAUUCCCGGUGUAGCGGUAAAAUGCGUAGAUAUCGGGAGGAAGGCCUGUGGCGAAGGCGGCCUUCUGGCGCUGAACUGACACUGAGGCGCGAAAGCGUGGGUAGCAAACAGG